rnacentral:rRNA from 1 species
UGGGGAAUAUUGCACAAUGGGCGCAAGCCUGAUGCAGCCAUGCCGCGUGUGUGAAGAAGGCCUUCGGUUGUAAAGCACUUUCAGCGAGGAGGAAGGUGGUGAACUUAAUACGUUCAUCAAUUGACGUUACUCGCAGAAGAAGCACCGGCUAACUCCGUGCCAGCAGCCGCGGUAAUACGGGAGGGUGCAAGCGUUAAUCGGAAUUACUGGGCGUAAAGCGCACGCAGGCGGUUUGUUAAGUCAGAUGUGAAAUCCCCGGGCUCAACCUGGGAACUGCAUUUGAAACUGGCAAGCUAGAGUCUCGUAGAGGGGGGUAGAAUUCCAGGUGUAGCGGUGAAAUGCGUAGAGAUCUGGAGGAAUACCGGUGGCGAAGGCGGCCCCCUGGACGAAGACUGACGCUCAGGUGCGAAAGCGUGGGGAGCAAACAGGAUUAGAUACCCUGGUAGUCCACGCUGUAAACGAUGUCGAUUUUGGAGGUUGUGCCCUUGAGGCGUGGCUUCCGGAGCUAACGCGUUAAAUCGACCGCCU